rnacentral:snRNA from 1 species
GUCAAACGAUCAGGUGUUUACAU